rnacentral:rRNA from 1 species
UACGGAGGGAGCUAGCGUUAUUCGGAAUUACUGGGCGUAAAGCGCACGUAGGCGGCUUUGUAAGUAAGAGGUGAAAGCCUGGAGCUCAACUCCGGAAUUGCCUUUAAGACUGCAUCGCUAGAACGUCGGAGAGGUGAGUGGAAUUCCGAGUGUAGAGGUGAAAUUCGUAGAUAUUCGGAAGAGCACCAGUGGCGAAGGCGACUCACUGGACGACUGUUGACGCUGAGGUGCGAAAGCGUGGGGAGCAAACAGG